UACAGAUGUCUCAAGCGUUGUUCGGAAUCACUGGGCGUAAAGGGCGUGUAGGCGGUCAAGUAAGUGGAAUGUGAAAGCCCCCGGCUUACCCGGGGAUCUGCAUCCCAAACUGCUUGGCUUGAGUACGGGAGAGGAUAGGGGAAUUCCUGGUGUAGCGGUGAAAUGCGUAGAUAUCAGGAGGAACACCGGUGGCGAAGGCGCCUAUCUGGCCCGAUACUGACGCUGAGGCGCGAAAGCUAGGGGAGCAAACGGG
rnacentral:rRNA from 1 species